AUGGACGCCCACCGUCACAGCAGCUUCUUCUUCGUCGUCGUCGUUGCUGUCGCUGCGAUCUUCACCAUGGGCUUCGUGCGGUGUGCCGAUGCCGCACGACCCGUGCCACCGAGCCCGGCGUCCGCGCUGGUGUCGUCGUUGAUGGAGAUGCUACCCAUGGGGCCCAGCGGAGGAGGCGCGGGGCACUGA
rnacentral:rRNA from 1 species